UGUAAGCGUAUACCAAAGUUGUUGCAGUUAAAACGCUCGUAGUCGGAAUUUGGCAGUUCCGGAUGUGUGCACGUCGUGUGCGCACUUCGCGGGGAUUGCUUUUGUGGUCUUGCGUAGGAUGAGGCACUUUUAUUAGUGAACGUCCUCACGCAACCACUUUUUACUGUGAGAAAAUCAGAGUGCUCAAAGCAGGCAUUUGCCGUGAAUGUAUUAGCAUGGAAUAAUAGAAUAGGACUUGGUUCUAUUUUGUUGGUUUGUUAGGACUGAGUAAUGAUUAAGAGGGACAGUUGGGGGCAUUUGUAUUUCGGUGCUAGAGGUGAAAUUCUUAGAUUACCGAAAGACAAACUGCUGCGAAAGCGUCUGCCAAGGAUGUUUUCAUUGA
rnacentral:rRNA from 1 species